UCACACCCUCCAGAGGCUCAUGUUCCAGGAAGGAAGCUGAGACGAGCACAGCUGUGGGCAGAGGCGAUGGAGCUGGAGGCCUGCAGGGCCAAAGAGCCGUCCGUGCACCCCCCGUGCAACCGAGCCUUCAAGGAUGAAGACGGUUCCCUCGAGAGGCAAGAGCUGAGGUGCAGAAAACAGGCAUUAAAACGCAGAGGAGCCAGGGAAGCCACAAAGGGAAGAGCACUUAUCGAGCAAUGGAAAGUGGUCAGCGGACCAGCUGGGCAACAAGGAACACAGAGUGAGUGGGAUCACGGCCGCAUCCAUCUCACGGCUGCGGGAAGCCUCCACGUCCUGAGUCCAGGCUCUCGUGCCUCCCAAGUUCACAGAAGCCGACCUUGACGUGAAACUCGCUUGAACCCGACGCUGUGCCGUCAGCGCUCACAGGGAGAAAAUGGGCCUCCGCGUCUCCGUGGGGCGAUGACCACCCCACGCACGAACACAACAGCUGCAUCAGGGACCACAGGUGGAGGCAGGGGCCCCAGCGUCCCCACUCAACACCGUGCCCAUCUGCAGCCUGGCUGCCACUCUUCCCACCGGCCACGCCCCUCCCAAGCCAGACACGCCUCUCAGACCCAGUCCCCGGGAUGAGCUCAGCUCCUGAGACUCAGACCUGGGCUUGGCUGGGAAAAGACAUAGAGAUGAGCCUGGACUUGACCCAGGCCUUGGAGACCUUCUUUUCCGAGUGCCUCGUCUUAAAACAUUCCGUGUUAAGGUGGGCCUAGGAAUGGUCACCAGCAGAACUCCCAUCACUGAGAAAGGUGAGCAAAUGAAUGCUGGCAUCGGAAGCAGCCGGGCAGCUUCCUGGCACAGGGCGCCCGGCUGGCAGGCGAAGGCCUGUCUGGACUCCUGACAGGAGGGCGGAUGGAGGGGCUGAGGGCCGCCGCCUGUUAUCAGUGGAAAGAAGACGGUCAUGGAAAAAGGAACCGGUUACUCAUCCUGACGUUCCUGAACGCCGUCCACGCGGCCAGGUAGGCAGGACGGGAAGCGGGUGCCGCCGGCAGGAGCCAGAGCUGCAGGCAGCCCUGGGGUGGGACGGCACCCCCCGGGGCAUGGGAAGUGGCAGCCUUCACACCCAGCUGAGAGACACUGCAGAUGCCACAAAGGUGAGAGCAGCACCCACGGCGGGGGCACCCCGGGGCUGGGAUGGAACAGAAACGCACACUCAGAUGCGCUGUUUCUUCCACUGCGAGCGGGAUUUUCUCUUCUGUUAUUACUCAGUGUUAUUUAUAAAACAGCUGCACUUCUGUAUCGACUUGAUUCUGACUGAGUUACAGUAAUGAUUUAAAGAGCAAGUGCCCAGCGGCAUCUGAGCCGAGGCAGAGGCGGAGUCUCAGGCCUGAACCACCACGAAGCUGCGUGCGCACUCCUGGCCAGACAUCGUGGCAGCGGCAGGAACAGACUCUAUCCAUCAAUCCAUCGUUUUCAAUGAGAGAUCUUCCUUUAAAAGGCCGAGUGGCAUCCCCGUGUGGCCCAUUGCAGACCAGUCGCUCCCGGACCUGCACAUGAAAACCACCUGGGCGCGUGCAGUCAAGGGUCGGGUCUGGGGCCCCCAAAACAGCUGCCCUUUCCCUUCCGGGGCUGUGUCCAGGGCCGGGGCUGGUGGCUCCCGGAUCACAGGACGCACAGCACUCCCUUGGUGGCCUGGUUUGGGGCAACUCUGCAGGCAGCCCAAACUCCCUGCCAACCAUCAAAUAGCAUGUCAUAACUCCCUACUCCCAAGAGAACGAUUCAGAGCAGUGGGAGAACUGCUAAUAAGACACAACUCUUUAUCAUCCGUGGUGGUUCAGACUCUCUAGGUCAUCGAGUGACAAAGUGAAGCUAAAACAAAAUGCCAUCAAUGAUCAAAAUACUCACUGACUGUAUAAACUUUAUUAAAACUUUGUUGUAGGUCUACACGGAAACAUUAAGUAAAUAGAAAUGCCAGUUCUCGCUGAAUAUUCCACCUGCCCACAUACUACCCUGAAUGGAAACACUGGCCACCACACUAUUUUAACACCAAAGACUAUAAAGAACAUAAAAGAAGCGAACUUGUACGUUGCUAUUAGAAACUGAGAAUAAAACAUGAGUUCUUUCCCACAAAAUUAACCCGUCGGUAAGCACUCUUCGUGUAUAAUGAGUAUCUUUCCGUUUACCUCUACUUGUUGAAUAACAAACCAUGCCUGGAAAUACACUGUUCGGAAUAAGGACAUGCCCCCCGUGUGUCUGUGUGACAUGCAAACAUCCUGCAUUAUUUGACUGCAGGUCCGACAGGCAGACAGCAAAGGCAAUGGAAGCUUCGCAAUGCCUUCCGUGGUAGAAGCUUAACAUAAGCAUAUCUAUUUGAUUCCCUAAUCAUAAUAUAAUAGAGGCUAAGGGCCUUGUUAUCAAUAGGAGAAUGAGGAAAAUAUUUUAACAAUUAAUAAAUAAUUACGAACAGGCUAAAAAGGAAAUUUUAAUCUUGCCGUUUCGCAAUCAGGAUUUCGGGAUCUUAGCAACUCCAGUUUCCUGCUGUCCAUCAUAUCACCCCCAAGCCUCCGUGGUCCUUUCCUACCCCAGCAGCUAAGGGUAACGGCCAUAAACACACCAACUCGGAUCGGGAACCCAGGGCAUCACAAAUAUGGAAAUCACAGAGCAAAGCGGAAGAGGG